rnacentral:misc_RNA from 1 species
GUAGGUGAACCUGCGGAAGGAUCAUUAACUAGUAUUGAAGUCCACAGGGAUCAGGCUUUCCGAAAGGAGGGUUGGGGGAUGUUUGGUUCCCCCUGCUUGGGCAGACUGGAGAGCAUGGUGUAGCCACUUUUUGUUGGCUAGAUUAUGUUUGGCCUCUGCUGAUCGAGCUUGUCACCUGAAUUCUACUACCCUUGCUUUUUGCGCACCCAUUGUUUCCUCGGCAGGCUUGCCUGCCAGUAGGACCCUUUAA